GUGUCGGUGGUGCAACGGUUAGCAUACGCUCCCGGAAACAGUGAGAUAAGGGUUCGAAUCUCGUCUGACGCA